AGCUGCAGCCAAAUCCCUAGUGUCUCUCCCUCUCGUUCUCCUCUGUAUCGCCCAACGACAGAAGCACGAGAGCUAGGUCGGCGACGGCGAGUCUGGGCUUUGGAGCGAGUGGUAGCAGGAAGGGCGGCGCCAUUGGAGUCGGCGGAACCAUGUGGGCGGAUCCGUUGGAGUCGGCGAAGCCAUGGGUGGGGGCGGAUCCGUUGGUCUGCUCGGCGGAUCCGUUAGAGGCGACUGGUUCAUUGGCGGCAGCCGACCCGGAUAACCUUGGGCCAAGGAGUCGUCCGUCGUCAACUUUGGGGCUCCAUUUGCAUCUCAGGCACAUCUGCAGCUGCUGCUAGGGGAAGAGGAGCUGCAAGGGGAAGGAACUCUGGAAGAACUGCAGGAGGUAGAACUGGAAGAGGUGCUGGAAGGGGAAGGAAUUCUGGAAGCACUACAGCAGCUAGUACUGGAAGAGGUGCUGGAAGAACUUAGGCGUUGACACAUCUAUAGAACUUGGAUUUGUUGCAUAUUACAUGUUGUUUGGAGAUGACAGGGUUACAGAAAUGAUGAGAUGCACUUGUAGUUCCAUUACAUUAGUACAACUACGAGUUCAUGAAUGAACUUCAUUUUGUGACAGCAAAUGUAAGAGUUCAUGAAUGAGCGUUCUUUAGUGAUGUUAGGACUACAACAAACUGCAUAGUGCUGCUGCUAAGAUGAACUGUAUUUUGUGACAGCAAACUCCUUUAUGAUGUACUUGUUUAAAUGAUGUUUGAACUCCUCUUUGCUGGUUAAAUUAUGUGCUCAGAUUCUGAAUU